UAAUACAGAGGGUGCAAGCGUUAAUCGGAAUUACUGGGCGUAAAGGGUGCGUAGGUGGUCUAUUAAGUUAUAUGUGAAAACCCCGGGCUUAACCUGGGAACUGCAUGUAAAACUGGUAGGCUAGAGUGCAGUAGAGGGAAGUGGAAUUUCAGGUGUAGCGGUGAAAUGCGUAGAUAUCUGAAGGAACAUCAGUGGCGAAGGCGACUUCCUGGACUGUUACUGACACUGAGGCACGAAAGCGUGGGGAGCAAACAGGAUUAGAUACCCUGGUAGUCCACGCCGUAAACGAUGAGAACUAGAUGUUGGGGGGCUUGACCUCUCAGUAUCGUAGCAAACGCGAUAAGUUCUCCGCCUGGGGAGUACGGCCGCAAGGUUA
rnacentral:rRNA from 1 species